rnacentral:rRNA from 1 species
AACGAACGCUGGCGGCGUGCCUAACACAUGCAAGUCGAGCGCUCCUUGGGUUUCGGCCCAAGGGGAGCGGCAGACGGGUGAGUAACACGUGGGUAACCUGUCCCCGAGUGGGGAAUAACUACUCGAAAGGGUGGCUAAUACCGCAUAAGACCACGGCCCUGCGGGGCAGCGGUCAAAGGCGCAAGCCGCUUGGGGAGGGGCCCGCGUCCGAUUAGCUAGUUGGCGGGGUAACGGCCCACCAAGGCGACGAUCGGUAGCUGGUCUGAGAGGAUGAUCAGCCACACUGGUACUGAGACACGGACCAGACUCCUACGGGAGGCAGCAGUGGGGAAUAUUGCGCAAUGGGCGAAAGCCUGACGCAGCAACGCCGCGUGGGUGAUGAAGGCCUUCGGGUCGUAAAGCCCUGUCAAGUGGGAAGAAACCUCCCUGCAAGGGGAGCUGACGGUACCACUGGAGGAAGCACCGGCUAGCUCCGUGCCAGCAGCCGCGGUAAUACGGAGGGUGCAAGCGUUGUUCGGAAUCACUGGGCGUAAAGGGCGCGUAGGCGGUCCGACAAGUCUGAUGUGAAAGCCCGGGGCUUAACCCCGGAAGUGCAUUGGAAACUGUCGGACUUGAGUUCGGGAGAGGAAGGCAGAAUUCCCGGUGUAGGGUUGAAAUCCGUAGAUAUCGGGAGGAAAACCGGUGGCGAAGGCGGCCUUCUGGAACGAAACUGACGCUGAGGCGCGAAAGCGUGGGGAGCAAACAGGAUUAGAGACCCUGGUAGUCCACGCGGUAAACGAUGGAUGCUGGGUGUGGGGCUCAAUACGGAGCUCCGUGCCGAAGCUAACGCAUUAAGCAUCCCGCCUGGGGAGUACGGUCGCAAGACUAA